AGGGUUCCUAUCUAACUAGAACAGAUGUUAAUGAAUUAGUGUUAGUAGUCACUGUUACAAUAUACUAUAACUAAUUAUAAGCAAAGAAUCUUUUUAUGUUAAUAAAUGUGUAUUAGCCAACUGGUGAGUUGGCAUUUUGAAAAGUAAUAUUUUAUGCCAUUGGAAGUUGUUAUACUAAAUCUCUUACCAAUUCUGUUUUUAAAUUGGUUAAGUUUCUUUCCUAAAAUUAUCUUAUUUCUUCAGCUUAUUGCUUUCUUUUCUCUUGAAGAUAGACUUUCCUUUACCAAUACAUUUUUCAUGCCGAGGUGUCGUUAAGAAUUUAUUUAUUCCUUCCUUCAUUGUUCUUUGAGGUCUCUUUUCCAAAUGACAGAAUCUCCAACUUCUACAGCUUGAAAUUAGUGACAUUUUAAUUCUAACUGAAAAUUGUAUUUAAUUUUAUUUCUUUCCCAGGGAGUUCCUUCAGAACCAGGUCCCAACCCACCUAACUUGCUGAGCAAACAGCUUUCAUUUCUUCCACCUGUCAUAUUUGACAGGCCUCCACUGGGCAAGCAUUUUGAGAUGUCCUUGUGGAUUGUCAGAAGACAUAUUUUCAAAAUUCUUCAGUGAAUGUCACAUUUGUCAGUGCUAACCCUCGGAAUAGCAUAGGGCAAACUAGUAAAACAUUUCUAACUGUGGAGAUGUUGAAAAAUGAAGGUAGAUGGGAAGUGAUGGCUACAGAUGCUAACUGGGAAACAAAGUUCGAGUGGCGAAUAACCAGUAUGCUACUGGGUGAGAGUUCAGCAACCAUCACGUGGGAUAUCCCAUCCUACAUGGCUCCAUGUGACCUAUGUUAUCAAACACUUUGGCUACAGCAAGAGUUUGUUUGGCAAGAGUUUGUCUGUAACGAUUACGCCAUUCUCAGGGAGAUCCAGUACCUUUAAUGUGCUGGCAAGCCGAGCUUAAACCUGAAGCAGUUCCACAGGUUAAGGGAUAUUGAAUUGUUAUUAAAUUGUGUUAUUAAAUUAAUGGUGGCCUUUUUAUAGGUAUUGCUUG